CUGCAGUCAGUUACGUCGGAGAAAGCAAGACGGAAGCUCAAGAUGGAGACAGCUGCUUGCAUUGGAAGUAAAACAAACAGAGGCGCGACAGACAGCGGAGGACCACGUGUCAAACAGAAGGGCGAUGAGGAACUAAAGAGUUGGUGGAAAUUCCCAACUCCAUUUUCUCAAUUACGUCAAAAGAAGUGGAUUGUGAAAGAGUCUUAACUGUUUCCUCUUUUGAUGUGUUUAAAAGGUUUUGGGGAUUUAAAUGUACAGUAUUUAUUUUUCUAUUGCAAAAUAGUAGAAUAGCAGAAGUUAGAGAAAACCUAACCUGAUGUUCAUCUGUGGUCUCUGCAUUUCCACAUUUCUCUGCAUGUUUCACACCUUUCAAACUGUCUCUUGACACGAAGCGGAAUCGUUUCUCACAAGCUGAGUGUCAGCGUGGACGUGAGGAUGGGACACACCUUGUUUGGUGCGUUGGGGCUUUUCUCGCUGAAUAUUCUCCUCUACUGUGGACACGCUCAAGAUGCUUUGCUGCAUAUUGAGCCAAACUGGUCCCUUUUAUUUAUUGGAGAGAAAGUUACCUUCAUAUGUGACUCAAGAGAAGGAAACGACACUGACUGGAAUUACUCAUUCAGUAGGAAUGAUCAUUUCUUUACCACCAACGGAACAGAAAAUAGAUAUAAAUCAUCAUCUCUAACUAGAGGAGAUAGUGGUGAAUAUCAGUGUGUUGCUGAUCACAAGAUCCGUCCUGUUACAAGAGAAAGUAAUAAAGUCUCUCUAACUGUAUCAGAUGUCCCUCGGCUUGUCCUCACAGUGUCUCCAUCAUGGACGAGUCCUGGAGACUCAGUGACUCUGACCUGCAGUGUUGGACCUCCAUCUCCAGGAUGGAGGUUCUUCUGGUAUAAGGCUGUUCCAGAACAGCCAUUCAUUUCCUAUUACUACACUGAUGAGCUUCUAGCUGGUGGCACCACUGGGACUGAACAGGAUUCCUACAUUCUUCAUGGACAGACACACACAGCAGGAUAUGUGUGCAGAGCUGGAAG